CUACGGGAGGCUCCAGUGGGGAAUAUUGCACAAUGGAGGAAACUCUGAUGCAGCAACGCCGCGUGGAGGAUGACACUUUUCGGAGCGUAAACUCCUUUUAUAUAGGAAGAAGAUGACGGUACUAUAUGAAUAAGCGCCGGCUAACUCCGUGCCAGCAGCCGCGGUAAUAGGGAGGGCGCAAGCGUUACUCGGAAUCACUGGGCGUAAAGAGCGUGUAGGCGGAUUAAAAAGUCAGAAGUGAAAUCCUAUAGCUUAACUAUAGAACUGCUUCUGAAACUCUUAAUCUAGAAUAUGGGAGAGGGGAUGGAAUUUCUGGUGUAGGGGUAAAAUCCGUAGAGAUCAGAAGGAAUACCGAUUGCGAAGGCGAUCUACUAGAACAUUAUUGACGCUGAGACGCGAAAGCGUGGGGAGCAAACAGGAUUAGAUACCCUUGUAGUC
rnacentral:rRNA from 1 species